rnacentral:rRNA from 1 species
GAUGAACGCUGGCGGCGUGCCUAGUACAUGCAAGUCGAGCGAACAGACGAGGAGCUUGCUCCUCUGACGUUAGCGGCGGACGGGUGAGUAACACGUGGAUAACCGACCUAUAAGACUGGGAUAACUUCGGGAAACCGGAGCUAAUACCGGAUAAUAUAUUGAACCGCAUGGUUCAAUAGUGAAAGACGGUUUUGCUGUCACUUAUAGAUGGAUCCGCGCCGCAUUAGCUAGUUGGUAAGGUAACGGCUUACCAAGGCAACGAUGCGUAGCCGACCUGAGAGGAUGAUCGGCCACACUGGAACUGAGACACGGUCCAGACUCCUACGGGAGGCAGCAGUAGGGAAUCUUCCGCAAUGGGCGAAAGCCUGACGGAGCAACGCCGCGUGAGUGAUGAAGGUCUUCGGAUCGUAAAACUCUGUUAUUAGGGAAGAACAAAUGUGUAAGUAACUAUGCACGUCUUGACGGUACCUAAUCAGAAAGCCACGGCUAACUACGUG